UCUCCGGUGUUCUUUCUACGAUCCACUGAACAAGCUUAAGCUCAGGUACUAUAAAGUAUAAACCAUCAUACCAAGAGUUAUUCAUGCAAACUGAUACAAGCAAUGGUCAUGAUUCAACAAUUUCUGCUUGUGAAAAGGGUUAUAUUUCUGACUACCAUCGAUUUGGAUGGCUAUGAUUUUUAGCUCUCUGCAUACAUGCACUUGGACGCUUCAAGGAUCUUGUGGCAUGUACUAAUGGACUAGUUUCUAUACUGGCUAUACUUAUUCUCCAUUAGCCCAAGCAUAUCAGGAAAUUUAGUAUUCAAGACUCACCAAUCUUUGCUAAACGGUCAGAUAAGGGAGUCAACCUUUUAGCUUCUCUAUGCUAGAAAAUAUGAUGCCUCAUAGGGCAAACUGCGAGGAGUAAUGGAAAUGACAAAUAACUUGAUAGUGGGCAUAUUGAAAAAAAAACCACAAGAAGCUUCAUAUGCAAGGAAUGAAUGUCUAGCUUAUAUCGACACAGAUGGCUUGACUUAUUUUGAUAACCUCUUGGAGGAAAAGUCAUUAAAGUCAAGUAUAUUUAUCUUAGAGAAAGAUUAUGAAGAUGCAAUCCUUAGCUAGAUGAGCGAAUGUUUGUUAAUGACAGUGAAAGUAUAGUUGGUAGUGGAAGCUUAUCUGGAGGCGCUAUUAACAUGUGUGGAACAAAGAGAAAGUAUGAGUUAAUUGCUUCACCAACAAAGUCUAUCACAAGUCCAUUGUCUCCACUCAU